rnacentral:rRNA from 1 species
AACGAACGCUGGCGGCACGGCCUAACACAUGCAAGUCGAGCGCUCUCUUCGGAGGGAGCGGCGGACGGGUUAAGUAACGCGGUAGGGAAUCGUUACCCUUCUACGUAAGGAAUACGCCAGUUAGGAAACGAUGAGUAAUACCUUAUACCGGCCCCCGGUACAACUGGGGGGAAAGAUUUAUCGGAGAGGGAUCAGCCCGCGUAAGAUUAGAUAGUUGGUGGGGUAAUGGCCUACCAAGUCUACGAUCUUUAGCUGGUUUUAGAGGAUGAUCAGCAACACUGGGACUGAGACACGGCCCAGACUCCUACGGGAGGCAGCAGUGGGGAAUCUUGGACAAUGGGCGCAAGCCUGAUCUAGCCAUGCCGCGUGUGUGAUGAAGGUCUUAGGAUCGUAAAGCACUUUCGCCAGGGAUGAUAAUGACAGUACCUGGUAAAGAAACCCCGGCUAACUCCGUG